UACGAAGGGGGCGAGCGUUGUUCGGAAUUACUGGGCGUAAAGGGCGCGCAGGCGGUUCUGAAAGUCAGAUGUGAAAGCCCCGGGCUUAACCUGGGAAUUGCAUUUGAUACUCUGGAGCUUGAGUACGGGAGAGGAGAGUGGAAUUCCCAGUGUAGAGGUGAAAUUCGUAGAUAUUGGGAAGAACACCGGUGGCGAAGGCGGCUCUCUGGACCGUAACUGACGCUGAGGCGCGAAAGCGUGGGGAGCAAACAGG
rnacentral:rRNA from 1 species